rnacentral:rRNA from 1 species
GGCUCAGAAUCAACGCUGGCAGCAUGCCUAACACAUGCAAGUCGAACGCGAAAGUGGCUUCGGCCGCGAGUAGAGUGGCAAACGGGUGAGUAACGCGUGGGUGACCUGCCUUCGAGUGGGGGAUAACGUUUCGAAAGGAACGCUAAUACCGCAUAACAUCCUGUUCUUGAACGGAUGGAGAUCAAAGCCGGGGAUCGCAAGACCUGGCGCUUGAAGAGGGGCCCGCGUCCGAUUAGCUAGUUGGUGAGGUAACGGCCCACCAAGGCGACGAUCGGUAGCCGGCCUGAGAGGGCGGACGGCCACACUGGGACUGAGACACGGCCCAGACUCCUACGGGAGGCAGCAGUGGGGAAUUGUUCGCAAUGGGCGCAAGCCUGACGACGCAAUGCCGCGUGGAGGACGAAGAUCUUCGGGUCGUAAACUCCUGUCGAGCGGGACGAAAGAACCGGGGCCCAAUACGCCCUGGAAGUGACGGUACCGCUAAAGGAAGCCCCGGCUAACUCCGUGCCAGCAGCCGCGGUAAUACGGGGGGGGCAAGCGUUGUUCGGAAUUACUGGGCGUAAAGGGCGCGUAGGCGGCCUUCUAAGUCGGACGUGAAAUCCCUCGGCUUAACCGGGGAACUGCGUCCGAUACUGGAGGGCUUGGAUCCGGGAGAGGGAUGCGGAAUUCCAGGUGUAGCGGUGAAAUGCGUAGAUAUCUGGAGGAACACCGGUGGCGAAGGCGGCAUCCUGGACCGGCAUCGACGCUGAGGCGCGAAAGCCAGGGGAGCAAACGGGAUUAGAUACCCCGGUAGUCCUGGCCCUAAACGAUGAAUGCUUGGUGUGGCGGGUAUCGAUCCCUGCCGUGCCGGAGCUAACGCGUUAAGCAUUCCGCCUGGGGAGUACGGUCGCAAGGCUGAAAC